GGUGAGGUGUCUGAGUGGUCGAAAGAGCACGCUUGGAAAGCGUGUGUGCGGAAACGUACCGCGGGUUCGAAUCCCGCCCUCACCGCCA
rnacentral:tRNA from 1 species